CCUACGGGGGACUGCAGUAGGGAAUCUUCCACAAUGGGCGAAAGCCUGAUGGAGCAACGCCGCGUGGGUGAAGAAGGUCUUCGGAUCGUAAAACCCUGUUGUUAGAGAAGAAAGUGCGUGAGAGUAACUGUUCACGUUUCGACGGUAUCUAACCAGAAAGCCACGGCUAACUACGUGCCAGCAGCCGCGGUAAUACGUAGGUGGCAAGCGUUAUCCGGAUUUAUUGGGCGUAAAGGGAACGCAGGCGGUCUUUUAAGUCUGAUGUGAAAGCCUUCGGCUUAACCGGAGUAGUGCAUUGGAAACUGGGAGACGUGAGUGCAGAAGAGGAGAGUGGAACUCCAUGUGUAGCGGUGAAAUGCGUAGAUAUAUGGAGGAACACCAGUGGCGAAGGCGGCUCUCUGGUCUGUAACUGACGCUGAGGUUCGAAAGCGUGGGUAGCAAACAGGAUUAGAUACCCCUGUAGUC
rnacentral:rRNA from 1 species